AAUGAACGCUGGCGGCAUGCCUAACACAUGCAAGUCGAACGAAGGCUUCGGCCUUAGUGGCGCACGGGUGCGUAACGCGUGGGAAUCUGCCCUCAGGUUCGGAAUAACAGCGAGAACUUGCUGCUAAUACCGGAUGAUAUCGCGAGAUCAAAGAUUUAUCGCCUGAGGAUGAGCCCGCGUAGGAUUAGCUAGUUGGCGUGGUAAAGGCGCACCACGGCGACGAUCCUUAGCUGUCUGAGAGGAUGAUCAGCCACACUGGGACUGAGACACGGCCCAGACUCCUACGGGAGGCAGCAGUGGGGAAUAUUGGACAAUGGGCGAAAGCCUGAUCCAGCAAUGCCGCGUGAGUGAUGAAGGCCUUAGGGUUGUAAAGCUCUUUUACCCGGGAUGAUAAUGACAGUACCGGGAGAAUAAGCUCCGGCUAACUCCGCGCCAGCCGCCGCCGUAA
rnacentral:rRNA from 1 species